UACGUAGGGUGCGAGCGUUGUCCGGAAUUAUUGGGCGUAAAGAGCUCGUAGGCGGUUUGUCGCGUCGAGUGUGAAAACCCGGGGCUCAACCCCGGGCCUGCAUUCGAUACGGGCAGACUAGAGUUCGGUAGGGGAGUCUGGAAUUCCUGGUGUAGCGGUGAAAUGCGCAGAUAUCAGGAGGAACACCGGUGGCGAAGGCGGUCUGCUGGGCCGUUGCUGACGCUGAGGCGCGACAGCGUGGGGAGCAAACAGG
rnacentral:rRNA from 1 species